rnacentral:lncRNA from 1 species
AAAUCUACUUUGACAACUCAAAUAGCAGAGGAGACUGAAAUGUCUGAAGUCAUAGAAUCUGUGAAACAACGGGUUAAAGAUGCUAAAUUACCUGACAUUGAGGUUGUUAGGAUACUGUGGGAUAUCUUGAUGGAUGCAGUUCAGUGGUCUGGGAAGAACCAGCAGCAGAAUGCUAAUGCAGCUCUGCGUCAGGUGAGCACUAAAUCCGUACUUUGCCUGUGUGCAGCAUCACAUCAACUAUACCUGAUUGCUUUUUCAUUAAUUAUUCAUGCUGUGGCAAACCAGUGAGCACCUUUUAAUGAGAUUAUGUAUGAUAAUUGCAUGGUCUGGUACAUCAAUAAAUUGAUACACAAUCCCUAACAUUUGGAUCAUGUGCUAAUGUUCCGAGUCAAAUAAAUUUAGCCUGCAUGUUUGGCUAUGUCUGGCAUUACCCAUCUUAUACAUCACAAAAGAGUUAAGUGUCAUAGAUGAUAACGAAAACGGUAGAAGAAGAGCCUUUGGGGUGCAAUCCAAGUGCAAAAAGAGCAUGCAAGAGAGGCACGUCCUCUAAAUAGUUCGUCCGUUCUUGUUUUAUUGAUGAUAUAUUCUUAUCUAUAAUCCUUUUUUAUUCAUAAAAUUUUGAGAAAAUUUAUUUCUUUUCCUUGUGGUAUGUUCAUCAUCUAUGGAGCGUUUGCAUGUACAUGUUUGAAUUGAGGUGGAAUAUGGGUUAUAUAGUUCAGAUGUUUGAAUGCUUUUCUCUCCAGGUCAUGUUUGCCUUUCCUGACGGUAUUUGCAUUCGCAUUAUUCUAGGUGCAUGCAAGAAUAAUUAUCUUCAUCAGUGUUGCAAAAGAAUAAAAAAUGAAAAUUAUUCUUUUCAUCAUAUUGAAGAAUUGUAGGAUAGAGUCCAUCUUCUUUCUUUGCUUUGGGCUUCAGUGUCUGAGGAGUUCCAGGUUUCAUCUUUUUUCUUCAUUCAUAUGAGUUGGGAGGGGUUUGAAGAUAUGGUUUUAAAGUUGGAUAGCUUUGUGUAGGGGUGGUUGGGUAUACUUUAUAUAGCACUAAAAGCUUAUCUUUUUUGCUUGUAUAGUGGACAACUGGUCCACAUGCUAUUUUGAUUUAUCUCCAUUAAUACACUUUCGAGUUUCAUAUUUUUAAACAAAAAAAUUCUUUUUCAUCAUAUGUUUAUAUCCCAUCGUUUUGUAUUACAUUUUACUUGAAAUUGCAAAGCUAUAGCAGAUGUUUCUUAUAUAUGUUCAAUUGUUUGUAUCCUGGCAUGUGCUGAGAUGUUUAACUGCUAGCUACACGUCAAGUAGUUGGUCAUCUCAUUUUAAAAUACAAUAUUGGAUUUAAAAUAUUGACAGUAGUUCUUGUCAUUGUUGCCAUUAUUGUUUCUAUACAGGUAAAAACCUGGGCACAACUGUUAAAUACCUUCUGCACCAAUGCGAAACUUGAGCUGGAGCUGAUGUACAAAGUUCAGAUGCAGUGCUACGAGGAUGCUAAGCUGAUGAAGCUAUUUCCUGAG